rnacentral:rRNA from 1 species
UUAAAUUGAAGAGUUUGAUCAUGGCUCAGAUUGAACGCUGGCGGCAGGCCUAACACAUGCAAGUCGAACGGUAACAGGAAGCAGCWUGCUGCUUUG